AACGAACGCUGGCGGCAUGCCUAACACAUGCAAGUCGAACGAGACCUUCGGGUCUAGUGGCGCACGGGUGCGUAACGCGUGGGAACCUGCCUUUAGGUUCGGAAUAACUCAGAGAAAUUUGAGCUAAUACCGGAUGAUGUCUUCGGACCAAAGAUUUAUCGCCUUUAGAUGGGCCCGCGUUGGAUUAGCUAGUUGGUGGGGUAAAGGCCUACCAAGGCGACGAUCCAUAGCUGGUCUGAGAGGAUGAUCAGCCACACUGGGACUGAGACACGGCCCAGACUCCUACGGGAGGCAGCAGCGGGGAAUAUUGGACAAUGGGCGAAAGCCUGAUCCAGCAAUGCCGCGUGAGUGAUGAAGGCCUUAGGGUUGUAAAGCUCUUUUACCCGAGAUGAUAAUGACAGUAUCGGGAGAAUAAGCUCCGGCUAACUCCGUG
rnacentral:rRNA from 1 species